GGAGAUUUAGCUCAGUGGUAGAGCGCUUGCUUACCAAGCGCAAGGCCCUGGGUUCGGUUCCCAGCUCCG
rnacentral:tRNA from 1 species